AUGGAUUUUCUUGAACCAAUGAUAGCCUUAGACGAGACGCAUUAUCAAGACGGUUACAAAGAUGGUUAUGAUGAUGGCAUGGUAUCUGGAAAAGAAGAAGGAAGGCAGGUCGGUUUAAAGUUGGGUUUCCAGGUAGGUGAAGAGCUAGGUUUCUAUCAGGGCUGCUUGGAUGUGUGGAUGUCAAUAAUUCGCCUUGAUCAAGGUGCAUUCUCAGCUCGGGUCAGGAAAUACAUGGAGCAACUAGCUGCACUUCUAAGCAACUAUCCUUUGUCUGAUCCAGAGAAUAAUCACCUUCAGGACAUGAUGAAGGAGAUAAGGCUGAAAUUCAGGGUUAUCACGGGAAGCUUAGGAGCAAAAUUGGGGUAUGAAGGUCGUCCCACAUCAUCAGAGCAAGACCUUGAGGAUAUUUAG
rnacentral:rRNA from 1 species